UCGGCAGGACGGUUUGUCGCUCCUUUCGUUACAGGAAGGAGAGGAAAGUCCGGGCAACACAGAGCGUCCCGUUACCUAACGGGUAGCUAUUCGUAAGAGUAGGGUUAAGUAGAAGAAAAUAACCGCCUUGUUUCGACGAGGUAAGGGUGAGAAAAUGAGGUAAAAGCUCAUUGGGUCCGGUAGUGAUGCCGGAUGCCGUACUGCCCGGGAGUUGCAAGAUCAAGUAUACCGGCUAGAUGUAGGGCGGCUCGUCCGAUGCCGGGGGGUAGAUCGCUGGAGCCUGGUGGCGACAUCAGGUCGAGAUAAAUGACAAACGCUUGCGUUUUGCAAGUACAGAACCCGGCUUAUAGGCCUGCCGAUUUU
rnacentral:RNase_P_RNA from 1 species